rnacentral:rRNA from 1 species
GAUGAACGCUGGCGGCGUGCUUAACACAUGCAAGUCGAACGGAAAGGCCCAAGCUUGCUUGGUUACUCGAGUGGCGAACGGGUGAGUAACACGUGGGUGAUCUGCCCUGCACUUCGGGAUAAGCCUUGGAAACUGGGUCUAAUACCGGAUAGGACGAUGGUUUGGAUGCCAUUGUGGAAAUUUUUUUCGGUGUGGGAUUAGCUCGCGGCCUAUCCGCUUUUUGGUGGGGUAAUGGCCUACCAAGGCGUCGAAGGGUAGCCGGCCUAAGAUGCUAUACGGAGAGAUGCAGAUAUACAGACGGCCCGGGUACCUACGGGAGAGAGCAGUGAGGAAAAUGCGACAGUGCGCGAAAGCCGGAUGCAGCGAGGCCGCGUGGGGGAUGACGGCGUUUGGGAUGUAAACUCAUUUGGCUAGGGACAAAGCGUUUUUGUGACGGUACCUGGAGAAGAAGCACCGGCUAACUACGUG